AGCGAACGCUGGCGGCAGGCCUAACACAUGCAAGUCGAACGAACCUUUCGGGGUUAGUGGCGGACGGGUGAGUAACACGUUGGAACGUGCCUUUAGGUUCGGAAUAAAUCAGGGAAACUUGUGCUAAUACCGAAUGUGCCCUUCGGGGGAAAGAUUUAUCGCCUUUAGAGCGGCCCGCGUCUGAUUAGCUAGUUGGUUGAGGUAAUGGCUCACCAAGGCGACGAUCAGUAGCUGGUCUGAGAGGAUGAUCAGCCACAUUGGGACUGAGACACGGCCCAAACUCCUACGGGAGGCAGCAGUGGGGAAUCUUGCGCAAUGGGCGAAAGCCUGACGCAGCCAUGCCGCGUGAAUGAUGAAGGUCUUAGGAUUGUAAAAUUCUUUCACCGGGGACGAUAAUGACGGUACCCGGAGAAGAAGCCCCGGCUAACUUCGUG
rnacentral:rRNA from 1 species